rnacentral:rRNA from 1 species
CCCUUAGAUGUUCUGGGCCGCACGCGCGCUACACUGACGAUGGCAACGAGUUUUUCCUUCGCCGAAAGGUGUGGGUAAUCUUUUGAAACAUCGUCGUGCUAGGGAUAGAUCAUUGCAAUUUUUGAUCUUGAACGAGGAAUUCCUAGUAAGCGCGAGUCAUCAGCUCGCGUUGAUUACGUCCCUGCCCUUUGUACACACCGCCCGUCGCUCCUACCGAUUGAGUGGUCCGGUGAGGCUUUGGGAUCUGAGCGGAAAGAGCGUUUCGCUGUUUCUGCCCGGAAAACUCAGUCGAACCUUAUCAUUUAGAGGAAGGAGAAGUCGUAACA